ACCUUCCAAAAUCUUCCACAAGCUUAAAACUUCUUAAUCUUCCUUUUCUUUCCCUUUUCCUUUAGAGUUUUCACUUUUCCCUUCCACUUCUUCUUCAUGAAAAAUAAACCAAUAAAUUAUAUUAAUACAAUAUUUCUCAUAAAUAUUCACAUAAAAAUAAUAAGAAACAUCCCUAAAUCAAAACCUCUAACAUACCUUUAAAUUUCAAAACCCUUGGUUACUAUUCACCCUCCCUCAAUCUUGAAUUUUCUCUUUGAUUUCUCUUCUUUUCUUCAAAUUCUACUUUGAAAAUGUGUUGGGAGAAGAUGGAGAGUUGAUUAGAGAUGGAAAUUUGAAACAAUUUUGGGGUAGAAAGAAAAGAUGGAGGAAGAGGGGUUUAUGCAUGUUUACGGGAAGGAGAAGAAAAUGAAUGGGAAAAAUAAAUUCCCUUCCUCUUCUA
rnacentral:lncRNA from 1 species